CUGCAACCAAUGAAACAACCAGGAACAGAUAACCUCCUUCAUCCACAUUGUGGUCUUUCUUUCACCAUCCAUUACAAGUGUGUGACAGGUUCCAGACGGGUUGAGAGGGGAGAACAAUGUGUUGUGACCCUCAGUCCUGCCCUCCAGCUCAGCGCCUGGUUCCAACUCCUACUCCCAGCAGGCCGUGGGGGGCCUGGCCACCGCCCUUCUACCCACCUCCCUCACCACCCCUCCUCCACCACCAGAAUCAAUCGCUCUGCGACACCAUACAAACGAUCCACUGAUGUCCAUGCAUCACAGUACAAUGCACGACCAACAACCAGCAAUGUGUGUAGGACUGAGAGAGAGGGAGCGAGACUAAGAUGGAGAGUUAUUACAGUAACAUGGACAAAUGGAGUGAGGGAUCCCACACGAUUAUGACAUUGAAGGAGGCCAUAUAAAGUCCAACCCACCUGGUGAUGAACCUGAUCUCUCUGAAAUAGGCUCCUGUCUAACUGUGACAUGCUUUUUACAGCUUGGAGGAUGUGGCAGUGGAGGGAGUUUGGUGUCAUGGGUCAAUGUCACUCAGCCAACAGUCAGCUCA